rnacentral:misc_RNA from 1 species
UACAGAGGCCCCAAGCGUUAGGCGGAAUCACUGGGCUUAAAGCGUGUGCAGGCGGCCCUCCAAGUGCCUUGUGAAAGCCCACGGCUCAACCGUGGAAUGGCUUGGCAUACUGGGGGGCUUGAAUCAUCCAGGGGCGAGUGGAACUCACGGUGGAGCGGUGAAAUGCAUAGAUAUCGUGAGGAACGCCAGAGGCGAAAGCGACUCGCUGGGGAUGUAUUGACGCUCAGACACGAAAGCUAGGGUAGCGAACGGG